rnacentral:rRNA from 1 species
AGCGAACGCUGGCGGCAGGCCCAACACAUGCAAGUCGCACGAAGCCUUCGGGCUUAGUGGCGGACGGGUGAGUAACACGUGGGAACGUACCUUUUGGUUCGGAAUAACGCAGAGAAAUUUGCGCUAAUACCGAAUGAGCCCUUCGGGGGAAAGAUUUAUCGCCGAAAGAUCGGCCCGCGUUGGAUUAGGUAGUUGGUGUGGUAAAGGCGCACCAAGCCUACGAUCCAUAGCUGGUCUGAGAGGAUGAUCAGCCACACUGGGACUGAGACACGGCCCAGACUCCUACGGGAGGCAGCAGUGGGGAAUCUUGCGCAAUGGGCGGAAAGCCUGACGCAGCCAUGCCGCGUGAAUGAUGAAGGUCUUAGGAUUGUAAAAUUCUUUUACCAGGGACGAUAAUGACGGUACCUGGAGAAAAAGCCCCGGCUAACUUCGUGCCAGCAGCCGCCGUAAAAC